rnacentral:rRNA from 16 species
NCAUAUCACCAUACCAGCACUAAAGCACCGGAUCCCAUCAGAACUCCGAAGUUAAGCGUGGUUGGGCGAGAGUAGUACUAGGAUGGGUGACCUCGUGGGAAAUACUCGUGUUGCAUUCC